CACGUAGUUAGCCGUGGCUUUCUGAUUAGGUACCGUCAAGACGUGCACAGUUACUUACACAUUUGUUCUUCCCUAAUAACAGAGUUUUACGAUCCGAAGACCUUCAUCACUCACGCGGCGUUGCUCCGUCAGGCUUUCGCCCAUUGCGGAAGAUUCCCUACUGCUGCCUCCCGUAGGAGUCUGGACCGUGUCUUAGUUCCAGUGUGGCCGAUCACCCUCUCAGGUCGGCUACGUAUCGUUGCCUUGGUAAGCCAUUACCCCACCAACUAGCUAAUACGGCGCGGGUCCAUCUAUAAGUGAUAGCAAAACCAUCUUUCACUUUAGAACCAUGCGGUUCUAAAUAUUAUCCGGCAUUAGCCCCGGUUUCCCGGAGUUAUUCCAGUCUUAUAGGUAGGUUACCCAGUGUUACUCACCCGUCCGCCGCUAACGUCAAAGGAGCAAGCUCCUUAUCUGUUCGCUCGACUUGCAUGUAUUAGGCACGCCGCCAGCGUCCAUCCUGAGCCAGGAUCAAACUCU
rnacentral:rRNA from 1 species